UACGUAGGGGGCUAGCGUUGUCCGGAUUUAUUGGGCGUAAAGAGCGUGUAGGCGGCCAGGUAGGUCUGCUGUGAAAACUCGAGGCUCAACCUCGAGACGUCGGCGGAAACCAUCUGGCUAGAGUCCGGAAGAGGAGAGUGGAAUUCCUGGUGUAGCGGUGAAAUGCGCAGAUAUCAGGAAGAACACCCGUGGCGAAGGCGGCUCUCUGGGACGGUACUGACGCUGAGACGCGAAAGCGAGGGGAGCAAAUGGG
rnacentral:rRNA from 1 species